GCUACGCCUGGCUGGUGCCCCUAGUUCACACGGAGUUCUGGAUGUCUGCAGGCUUUUCGCUGAUACAACCUUUCUUUCCUGAUGUGGCAAUUUCAAGAGGAUUGUCGUCAUGGAAGUACAGCUUCGUCUUCUCUGCUUACAAGUUUGGAAUGUUGCUUGGCUCAAUUCUCGCGGAACGAAUACUGAAAACAUGGCCUCCUACAUCUUGUUAUCUUCUCGGUCAAGGCGGCUUCUUCAUAUUUCU
rnacentral:lncRNA from 1 species